GAACGGUAACAUAAAGAAGCUUGCUUCUUUGAUGACGAGUGGCGGACGGGUGAGUAAUGCUUGGGAAUCUAGCUUAUGGAGGGGGAUAACUACGGGAAACUGUAGCUAAUACCGCGUAGAAUCGAGAGAUGAAAGUGUGGGACCUUCGGGCCACAUGCCAUAGGAUGAGCCCAAGUGGGAUUAGGUAGUUGGUGAGGUAAAGGCUCACCAAGCCGACGAUCUCUAGCUGGUCUGAGAGGAUGACCAGCCACACUGGGACUGAGACACGGCCCAGACUCCUACGGGAGGCAGCAGUGGGGAAUAUUGCGCAAUGGGGGCAACCCUCACGCAGCCAUGCCGCGUGAAUGAAGAAGGCCUUCGGGUUGUAAAGUUCUUUCGGUAGCGAGGAAGGCAUUUAGUUUAAUAGACUAGGUGAUUGACGUUAACUACAGAAGACGCACGGGGUAACUCCGUG
rnacentral:rRNA from 1 species